rnacentral:rRNA from 1 species
GAUGAACGCUAGCUACAGGCUUAACACAUGCAAGUCGAGGGGAAACGAUAGAGAAAGCUUGCUUUUUCUAGGCGUCGACCGGCGCACGGGUGAGUAACGCGUAUCCAACCUGCCCACCACUUGGGAAUAACCUUGCGAAAGUAAGACUAAUACCCAAUGAUAUCUCUAGAAGACAUCUGAAGGAGAUUAAAGAUUUAUCGGUGAUGGAUGGGGAUGCGUCUGAUUAGCUUGUUGGCGGGGUAACGGCCAACAAAGGCGACGAUCAGUAGGGGUUCGGGGAGGAAGGUCCCCCACAGUGGAACUGAGACACGGUCCAAACUCCUACGGGGGGCAGCAGUGAGGAAUAUUGGUCAAUGGGCGAGAGCCUGAACCAGCCAAGUAGCGUGCAGGAUGACGGCCCUAUGGGUUGUAAACUGCUUUUAUAAGGGAAUAAAGUGAGCCUCGUGAGGCUUUUUGCAUGUACCUUAUGAAUAAGGACCGGCUAAUUCCGUGCCAGCCGCCGCCGUAA